UUUAUCUGUUCGUAAUGAAGUAUGUAUAUAAAAAGUUUUCUUUUUUAUUUUUUGUUUGUUCAUAAUUCAGAAUGAAGCUUCGGUUCGGACUCAUUUGAAUGGAAUGCGAACUUCACCACUUCUUUCGUCAUUCCUUUACCCAUUACACGCUUAUUAAAAAGCGCACAAAUCUAAACCCUCUGUUUCUUUAAGUUUUUUGUUGUUCAUCGUCUUGCACUGCCUCAAGAACUGCUCUUUCGUUGUUCAUCGUCUUGCGCUGCC
rnacentral:lncRNA from 1 species